rnacentral:lncRNA from 1 species
CUUGGUUACAGCAGGACUCUCACCAGUCAAGUCCACCUCAAACAAGUGGUAAUUCAGAUUCCGCUUCUGCCCAGUCACCUUCCAGUUCCAGUGGUGACACUCAGGUACUCCUAUAAUCAUCUAAGUAUGAUUUUUCAGUUUUUCAUGUGCUGCAAAUUUCAUUUUGUUGGUUUCUUCUUUUCUCGUUCUGUACUUUCUUCUUUAUACUCUUGUUUUUAUUGAAAUCAUCUAAGUAUGAUUUACCGGUUUUACUUGUGCUGCAAAUUUCAUUUUGUUGGUUUCUUCUUUUUUUUUUCGUUCUUUACUUUCUUCUUUAUACUCUUGUUUUUAUUGAAAUGGUUUAUCUGAAGAUAGUAUCAACUUACCUUUUCUCAGCUGGACACAGAGACAGAAUUGGGUACAUUUUUCAGUGGACUAAGUUUUGAUUAGGGAACAGAGGCAAUAGCUUGGAUCAUAAUAGUUUUCUCGAAUUCUUUAGCCUGUUAAAACCUAUCAAUGAAGUCUCUCUUUCUGUGUGAGGAAUACCUUGCUAACUAUAGAUCCAUAUUUACACUUUCGGUGUCUGAGUAUUAUAAAGUCAAUUUCGGUCUAAGUGGUAACACUUGAGUUUCUAUUUUCGUCUUUAGAUCACCUCUUUCUUUGGUGGUCUAUUCUUACUUUUGAAAUAUCCUGCUAACAUUUUGAUAAACUUUCUGAAGCUGAAUUGUGGUGAUUUCUGUUUUUCUCCCCUUCCUGUCAUUGGAGGUUGACUUCUGCGCUCUAUCAUGUUCAGUCUUGAGUUGUCUCUGAAUUUUUCUUAUCUCUGGUAGUGUCAUGUGCUUUAGAGAGGCGUGCGAUUCAAACAGGUGGUGUGUUGAGUGUUACCAACAAGAAGCAGUGGAUUUUUUGAAUCUCAGCUUUGAGGAGUUAGAUUAAUAUCAGCAUCAUUGUAUUUCGGACGCUAAAAUUAGUUUUUUAAUUGAUACUUGUUUGUGAUAGUACUCAUUCAUAUAAUGCGGUACUUUGACCUUUCGUAAAUUUUGUACGUCACUUCUAAGGAUGUGCUUCACUUCUUUGUGCUUUUUACUUUAAAACAAACCACUGUGUCCGCCAACUUAUAUCUAGUACUUUUCAGUGCUAAAGUUUGUGGUUUUAUUAUAAAAGAAAGAGUAUCUUACAAAAUGAGAGAGAAGGAAGUUGAC